rnacentral:rRNA from 1 species
AGAGUUUGAUCAUGGCUCAGAAUCAACGCUGGCGGCGUGCCUAACACAUGCAAGUCGAACGAGAAAGUGGAGCAAUCCAUGAGUAAAGUGGCGACCGGGUGAGUAACACGUGACUAACCUACCUUCGAGUGGGGGAUAACCUCGGGAAACCGGGGCUAAUACCGCAUAACAUCUUUGGAGUGGAAAUUCUGGAGAUCAAAGGAGCAAUUCGCUGGAAGAGGGGGUCGCGGCUGAUUAGCUAGUUGGCGGGGUAACGGCCCACCAAGGCUUAGAUCGGUAGCCGGCCUGAGAGGGCGCACGGCCACACUGGAACUGAAACACGGUCCAGACUCCUACGGGAGGCAGCAGUGGGGAAUUUUGCGCAAUGGGGGAAACCCUGACGCAGCAACGCCGCGUGGAGGAUGAAGUCCCUUGGGACGUAAACUCCUUUCGACCCGGACGAUAAUGACGGUACGGGUGGAAGAAGCCCCGGCUAACUUCGUGCCAGCAGCCGCGGUA